CUACAAAGGAAUUGACGGGGACCCGCACAAGCAGCGGAGCAUGUGGUUUAAUUCGAAGCAACGCGAAGAACCUUACCAGGCCUUGACAUGCAGAGAACUUUCCAGAGAUGGAUUGGUGCCUUCGGGAACUCUGACACAGGUGCUGCAUGGCUGUCGUCAGCUCGUGUCGUGAGAUGUUGGGUUAAGUCCCGCAACGAGCGCAACCCUUGUGUUUUAGUUGCAAACAGGUCAAGCUGUGCACUCUAGACAGACUGCCGUGGACAACACGGAGGAAGGUGGGGAUGACGUCAAAUCAUCAUGCCCCUUAUGAUCUGGGCUACACACGUGCUACAAUGGCCGGUACAACGGGCAGCGAAGGAGCGAUCCGGAGCGAAUCCUAAAAAGCCGGUCCCAGUUCGGAUUGCAGGCUGAAACUCGCCUACAUGAAGUUGGAGUUGCUAGUAAUCGCGAAUCAGAAUGUCGCGGUGAAUGCGUUCCCGGGUCUU
rnacentral:rRNA from 1 species